CACAAUCUAUGGGCACAGAUUCUCUUAU
rnacentral:piRNA from 1 species